rnacentral:lncRNA from 1 species
UUCAUUCCUUCGAAACUUCCCCAAAAGAACUUUGCAAAUAUUUGAUGCAGUUGAUCAAUCACUCUUUUAGGUAGGUUCAUGGCUGCUAGAAUAUAGACUGGCAUGGACUGUAGAACAUGGUUAAUAAGGACGAAUCUACCUCCAAAGGAGAGCAACUUGUUCUGCCACAUUAAAAUCUUCUUUGUCACCUUUCUCAAGAGGUAACUGUAAUGAUUCUUGUUCUUCCUUCCAUAGAAAACCGAACAACCCAGAUAUGUAAAUGGGAAAUUUCCUUGUCUUAUGCCUGUCAAUAUUCUUAAUCUUAUUGCCACAAUCAACGGUGUCUUAUCAUGCAAAUAGAAGAAACUUUUACUUUUAUUGAUGAGUUGCCCUGAGAUAGUCUCGUAAUUUUUAAGUGCCUCCAUCAUCUUCCAAAUAGACACCUUGUCUCCAGAAUAGAAAAGGAUAGUAUCAUCUGCAUAGGAGAGAUGAUUAAUUUUGGAACUCCAUUUAGGUAAUCCAUAUCCUUUAAAUUGUUCAUCCUGUAGUAGUCUAUUAAGGCCUCUGGAUAACAUUUCUGUUGCAAUAAUGAAUAGGGUAGGUGAUAGGGGAUCCUCUUGUUUAACUCCUCUUGAAGAUUGAAAGAAACCAUGAGAAUGCCUAUUUAUCAACACUAAAUACCAGUUGUUGGAAAUUAGCCUCCAAACCAUAUCAAUAAUCACUUCAGAGAAUCCAAAUUUCCUUAACACCUUAGUGAGAAAAAUCCAAGACACCCUGUCAUAUGUCUUUGUCAUGUCCAGCUUCACCACCACAUUGAUGUUCUUAUUUCUAAUGUUGAUAUCUCUUAUGAUUUCCUGAGCUAGCAGAACAUUUUCCGUAAUACUUCUCCCUCUCACAAAUCCAGCCUGAUUCUGUGAAAUAAUAUUAGGUAGUACCUCCGCAAUUCUUUCACGUAGCACCCUGGAAAUGAUCUUGUUAGUGAAGGUGCUUAAGCUAAUCGGUCUAAGAUCUGAGAAUUCCUUCACUAUUUCCUUUUUUGGUAAUAAAACCAAAUUGGUAUGAGUAAUGUAUUUGGGAAGCUCAUUCCCAUAGAAAAAAGCUCUUACCAACUUGGUGAUAUUAUCUCCAAUAAUGUCCAAGCAGGUCUGAAAAAAUACUCCUGAAAAACCAUCUGGGCCGCAAGCACUGUCACCAUUGAGUUUAAAAACCACCGUCUUCACCUCAUCCUUGUCUGGGAGUGCUAUCGUGCUCUCAUUUUGUUCAUCCGAGAUCAGCUUUGUUAGACACCGCAAUUCCUCCCACUCUUGAUUCCAUCUUUCUUCUGAAAACUGCUCUUUGAAAAAUUCCACAUGGAAAAAAAAUGGGUGUACUGAACCAUAUUUCUGAUGUGUUUAAUUGCUCCCCUGAUCACUCUAAGCACAUAUAAUAUACAAAGUUAAAAAGUAAUUUUCACUUCUAUUCAAACAAUAUAUAUCGUUGUUUCCUUUUCCUUUUCUUUCUUUUUUCUUUUUCAAUAAAUAAUGACAGAAUUGAAAUUCAGUUCAAUUCAAUAAUAAACAACAAUAAUAUAAUUAAACUAAUCAAAACUAAUAAAAAAUUAAUACUCAUGUAAACAACUACUUUUACAUGAUUUGUUUAUUCACUAACUCUUACCAAAUAAAAAAAAAUAUUCAUUCUUUCAUGUUUAUGAAACAUGAAAAGUGAUCAAUUUUUCCUUCAGGGUGCUCGAAAAAGUCUGCUACAUUCAAGCAUGCGAUGUCAACAUUAUUUUCAGGGAGAAAAUUAGCCUCAGAAUUUCUCUCUUUCUUCUUUAGCGAUGCUUGAUAAAGGCCACAUAAGUGCUUGAGAGCACGACAGUCACGUGAAUAGUGUCCUUUUUCACCACAUCGAAAAUAAGUAAUUGAUAUACGUUUCUCAUCUUUUCUCUUUUUAUUCGAUGAAUGAUUAACCCUUUUUUUUGGUCAUCACGACCACGACCACAAUCUUUUCCACGCCUAGCAUGGUGAGCAUGCACAUCAUUCACCUCAGGGAAUGGUGCAGAUCUAGUAGGCCGAUUCUCGUGACUUUUCAUCAACAAAUCAUAAUUUUGUUCAGCCACGAGAAGAUGAGAACUCAGUUCAGUAUAUUUCUUGAAAUCUUUUUCUCGAUAUUGUUGCUGUAAUAGCACAUUUGAGGAUGAAAAGUGGAGAGCAUCUUUUCUAUCGUAGCGUCAUCAUUAACCAUCUCUCCAAAUAGUUUCAAUUGAGAAGAAAUUCUGAACAUGGCAGAAUUGUACUCAUGAACAAACUUAUAGUCUUGAAAUCUCAGAUGCAUCCAUUUAUAUCGUGUUUUCGGGAGGAUGACCAUCUUUAAGUGGUCAAACCUUUCUUUUAGGUUAUUCCACAAUAUGAGUGGAUACUUAAUAGUAAGGUAUUCAAUUUUCAGAAUUUUGUCAAGAUGAUGAUGCAAGAAAAUCAUAGGCUUAGCACGAUUUUGACUAGAUGUUGUAUUUUCUUUCUUUACGGCGUCUCUAAGACCCAUAACAUCUAGGCGGAUUUCAGCCUUCAUCACCCAUGAAAUAUAGUUCUUGCCCGAACUUUGAAGGGCAACGAACUCACACUAACUUUGAAGGGCAACGAACUCACACUAGGUAAGAUUGUUAGACAUGUGAAAAGGGAAAAAAAAUAAUACCUUAGCUUUCAAAUUUGAGACGGUAGAAUCUCGUGCUGAUAACGUGUUAUAAAAAGUAAAGCAGAGAAGAACAAGAGUGGAGAGAGUAAUUGUUAUUUCUCUCGAGAAGAACAAGAGUAGAGAGAGUAAUUGUUAUUUCUCUCGAGGAUGAUUUACAAUGAAGGAAGCUCUACUAUUUAUAGGGGAAAUUUAUUCCUAGUUUCUAAGUAAAAGACAGAUAUAUCAAAUCCUGAUAGACAUCAACUAGAUCUUGAUAGACAUUCACUACAACUGAUAUACAUCAAUAUCAUAAUAAGAUUUGUAGUUAUAUUAUUAAUUAUAAAAAGAGUUCUAUUUUACUUGCACUUUGAAAUGACAAUGACAUAACAAAUUAGAAAUAUCAAUCACAAAAUUUUUAUUCAUGUUUGUUAUGGUUGUGGGUAUAAUAUAUGAUUUCAAGCGUGAAAAAUUAUAUAUAUAAUAUAGAAGAUAUCGAAGUCACUGUUGCUAAAAAAAAGUUCAUUAUCGAAGAUGAUUGAGGGACAUGCUUCUGAUUUUGAUUCGCGUAUGUGCUGCUAGUUCUGUUUCACUAUCUAUUAUUACUGCUCUCCUGUCGGUGUGACAAUCUGAGUAUGUUGUGCUCUCUUUCCUGCUCAAACGAAUUCAGCAAGUAGAAAAAUUUGGGUUAAAAAAAGAAAAUGAAGGGAAUUUCCAUACUUCUACAGUUGGAGAUGAAUUAUUAUAACAUUAAAUGGUACCCUUAAGAAAAUAUUUGUUUGAUAUACUAUAUUGAGUUAUAAUUUAAAAAUAAAUUAGUUAGGUAUUGGAAAUUUUUUUCAAAAAAAAAAAAAAUUAAGAAAUUAAACUUGGUAUGAGUUGGAUGAGUUACACAUUAUUUAGCACAUUUUAACUUUAUUAAAUUAUCGAAUCCACACAUUUUAACUUGAUCUAUUUGGUUCGACUCACCAUUUGACACCCCUAGAUACUUUUAGGUGAUAACUGCCCUACCGUGUUUAGAAAUGUGAUUAGAUCAAUUUAAAAAUAAGAAAAAUACAUCAUUUCAUCUUUAAAUCAGUAUACAUAAUUUACUUUAGAUCCUAAACUAUAUAGAUAAUUAUAUAUCCCCCUUAAUAACUCUAAAGUGAAUUAAAUUUAACCCUUCGAAGCCCAAGUGAAGUCACAUGUUGCUGGAUGUGUUAAAUAGAUAACUUUGUCUUUUAUUUUAUUUUUUAAACUAAAAUUUUCCUUUUAAAUAAUGUAACGAUUAUAAAAUCCCCAAAUUCUCCUAAAAAUUCUAAUUUACUCUUCUUUCUCAAUCUAUCCAAAAUUUGCUCCAUCUAUAAAAUUUAAGCAAAAAUUGAGAUUGAUUUCUCUUCCAAUUUAAAGAAUCCUAUUUUAUUUUUGUAGCACAUAAUGAGGUCAGUUAAUUUGACUAAAUUUUGUAUGAAAGAAAAUGAUAAUGCUUUGUACAAAGAAGUUUGUUGUAAUCAUGAAUUUUUGUUGCAUAUGAAGACAUCUUGAACUUCGAGGAAUUUUGGCAUAAAAUAUUGGGCAUGUCCUUAUUAUGGGGUAAAUAUUAAUUUUUGUCACUUUUACUAGUUCGAUAGAUUUGAUUAAAGUCUAAUUCAUUUUUUAUUUGUCACCAUUGAAGGGUCAAAGAUUUUGAGACUUUUAGUGUUGAAGGGAUAGAGAAGAUAUUAAUUCGAGGUCCAAAGAUGUGAUUCCUAAACUAAUAGAGAAAUUAGGUGACCUUGAGAAUUUUUUGAGUCUUCUCAAUGUAUUGACAAUCAUGUAUUGGUUAAUGAAGUUGAAAAAUUUAAGUUGAAUAAAUUUGUUGAGGAAGCUUCUCACGAAGUAGACAAGCCCAAAGAAUCCAAACAAGAUGAUAAGUGUGUUGAUAUGAAAUUAGAGAAGUUGAAAGAGAGAUUGAGAAGAUCAAAGAAAGAGAGAAGAAGUGGAGAAUAAUUGUCAAAUUUAUUGUGUUUUGUUCCUUUGUACUACUAAUAGCUAUAAGCUAUUGGCUUGGGAUAAUACAUAUAAACAAGGUUCAAUGAGGUUUUUUUAGCACUAGGUUGUUGUUAGAUUAUAUGUAGCAUAUUUUGUAUUGAACGGUGCAGCUUCUUUAAGCUUCUUUUGUAAUAUAAUUGGGUUGGUGGUUGUCUCUUGAGCACUAGGUUAUUAGAUGAUAUCUAGCAUAUUUUGUAUUGAAUGGAGUAGCUUCUUUAAGCUUCUUUUGUAAUGUACUUUAGCUAGUAAUUGUAUCUUGAUAUAUAUGAAGAGAGGUUGAAUUGAUUGCAUUUUAAGCAUUUG